rnacentral:lncRNA from 1 species
UGAUUGAGACAUUGGACUAAGACUACGUGCACACGGUAACGUUUUCGAGCGUUUUCAUUUGCGUUUUCACGCUAAAACGGAUGCGAAAACUAUUAAUUUACGACUGAAGCUGUAGUUUAUUUAAUAUAUUGGAGAUAUUUUCCUUUGAACCACGUGAACAGGGCAUCAAAGCGAUUAAAGGGACAAAAACGUUUUUGAAAACGCUCGAAAACGACGCCCGUGUGCACAUAGCCUAAAA